CGAGCGCUUCAAAGAGAAGAAG
rnacentral:miRNA from 1 species